rnacentral:tRNA from 1 species
UCUCUGGUGGCCUGGUGGUUAAGGAUUCAGCAUUGUCACUGUUGUUACUCAGGUUCAAGCCCUGGCCUGGGAA